GACGAACGCUGGCGGCGUGCUUAACACAUGCAAGUCGAACGGAAAGGCCCUGCUUUUGUGGGGUGCUCGAGUGGCGAACGGGUGAGUAACACGUGAGUAACCUGCCCUUGACUUUGGGAUAACUUCAGGAAACUGGGGCUAAUACCGGAUAGGAGCUCCUGCUGCAUGGUGGGGGUGGGAAAGUUUCGGCGGUUGGGGAUGGACUCGCGGCUUAUCAGCUUGUUGGUGGGGUAGUGGCUUACCAAGGCUUUGACGGAUAGCCGGCCUGAGAGGGUGACCGGCGUCAUUGGGACUAAGAUACGGACCAGACUCCUACAGGAGGCAGCAGUGGGGAAUAUUGCACAAUGGUCGGGAGCCUGAUGCAGCAGCGCCGCGUGCGUGAUGACGGCCUUCUGGUUGUAAACCGCUUUCGCCUGUGACGAAGCGUGAGUGACGGUAAUGGGUAAAGAAGCACCGGCUAACUACGUG
rnacentral:rRNA from 1 species